rnacentral:pre_miRNA from 1 species
AGAGGAAUAGCUGGGUCAAAUGAUGGUUCUACUCCCAGAUUUCCAAGGAAUCUCCAUACUGCUUUCCAAAUUGGCUGCACCAAUUUGCAGUCCCACCAGCAAU